GUCACCAAUCCCCCUCGGGAUCCACCAGCGCCCAAUCCCCUCACAGCCUCCACCUUCUCCUUGUUUUUCCCUCCUGUCCAACCACCAUCGCCCCGCCCAAAUCCUGUAGGAGCCCGAGCUCCUCUGCCCGUCGCCCCUCUCCUGCAGCCGCCCGAGCACCGGCCAGCUCCCUGGAGCUCACCACCAGCACCGCAGAACUCGUAUGACUCCAGCAACACCCCACGGGAGUUGGAGCAGCCAUGGCACCCGAACGCCUCAAGUUCGUCAGCCCCACCGAUGGAAUUUGUCUAGUGCCCGAGCCUCCUCCCGUUGCAGCCAGCUUGGCCGCCGACUAAAGCCCCAGGUCACGCACCGUCAGGAACGCCAUGGAGCAUCGCCGCCGUCCUAAACCAUCCAGAGCUCGCCUCCGUUCUGUUCCCGACCUCGUCAUCUCCGGAUCUGCCCAUCCCCGUCUCCUGUAGCUCUUCUCUUCGUCGGCUCCGCUGAGGUCCGUCACCGCCGUUGCCCUCUAGCUCGAUUUUGAGCUUUGCCUCCAGUCGCCUGCUCGAUCCCCUGCAUCGACCACGCACGCGUGUGCGCAAGCGCCGCAAGGCCAGUGGCGCCCAGCUUCUUCCGCUUUCGUAGCCA